rnacentral:lncRNA from 1 species
ACCAGAGCAACUGUGUGGUUCUGUGAAGACACUAUAAAGAAUGUAUUCAGUCUGAAUACAUUGAGCCCAUCCCUGUAUGUGCCAUCGUGGGAUCGCUUUGGUUGGCUCCAGGAGCCUUCCAACAGCCCUGUGCUGAGUGCAGUGGGGCUGCCCCGUGUUGGGCAGAGAUGCGAUGAAGCAAAGCUCUGUUUGUUUUCCGGCUGAUUGCCUUAUCCUGUGUCCCAGGGCCAGGGAUUUCACCAGGAUUUGCUGUGCUGGAAGUUCAGCAGAUUCACUGCAGGUGUUUGUGCCACAGUGUGACCUCAGGACUCACAAUGCACUCCAGGCAACACAUGGAAUUAUUGGUGCUCCGAAAUGGAAAUGUCCUAUUGCAGAAGUUUGAAGCCCUGGUGUGUGAGAAGCAGUGGGCUGCAGCACCUGGCUGUGAUGUGCUCCAUGCUGUGCUCAGACCUGGAGGCACAAAGGCAAAGACCAGCCCUGGGGACGUGGUUCUGCUGCACUGAAGGGCACUGCAUGCGGACGGAUGAGAAUUGCCUUUGGAGUAAAUACUCAACAGCGAUUUCAGUUUAAAUCUGUUCAUGUGAAAUCCUUCUUGAACAGGGAGGAAAGCUGUAAUCCUUCGCAGUGCCAUUCUCUGGCUGCUGCUGAGUCGGUGUUGUGCUGUUGUUUCUGCAUUCCCAGCGGCGAGGCUUUGGGGUCGGAUCCUGUUCUCCUUGGCUGUGAGCAGCUCUAACCCACUUCUGCUUUAUAUCUUCGCAGCCAUUGCAGCAGCGAGCUUGCUGCUAUAAUUACAACAUGUAAUUUAUCUUUGGUUCUCAGAUACUUCAGCAUAAUUUCCUGGAGGGAUAACUCCGAUGAUAAUGGAUGCAUGGUUAUGAAAGUUGCGCUGCCUUGUAAUAACAGUCUAAAUGAAAGAUGGGUAGAUGUGCAGGAAUACUUAUUUUCUUUGAGAGCUUUUAUUUUUAUUGGGGGGAGAAAAGUCUUCAGAAGGAGAUUCAGUUUCAUGGCACAACUGUGGGAACCGGCCCCACACACCAAUGAGGAACUACAGCUGCUGAAUUCCUGCACCCAUGCUGACAUAGGAGAACUUCCCCCACAUAGAGCUGCUCCUUCUUGUCACAGUGUUUCUGACAAUUCAGUCUUUGAGGUUAUUACAUAGUGUUAGCCCACAGCUCUUCAGUGCUGUAGAUUGAGCCUCUUGCAAACAACCAUCACAGGGCAUCCCAGCACAGCAGCAUCCCAGGUAAUUGUGUGCUUUCUGCUAAUUGCCUUGCCCUGAUGAGCGCCAUGUGGUCAUGCCAAAGUAAUGGGUGAUGCACAGAUGCUGGAUGUGGCUGGUGGGUUGUUGUAGCAACAGCUGAUCCAGCUGUGUUGGUUUAAAAGGCAAGAUUACCUCUGCUUGUUCCCAAAUCUCUCAUAUUUGGUCUCUUAGGAUGGGCUCCCAAUGGCUUCCAG